AGAAUCAACGCUGGCGGCGUGCCUAACACAUGCAAGUCGCACGAGAAAGGGGAGCAAUCCCUGAGUAAAGUGGCGCACGGGUGAGUAACACGUGACUAACCUACCUCCGAGUGGGGAAUAACUGAGAGAAACUCUUAGCUAAUACCGCAUAACACUUACGAGUCAAAGCAGCAAUGCGCUUGGAGAGGGGGUCGCGGCAGAUUAGUUAGUGGCGGGGUAAUGGCCCACCAAGACGAUGAUCUGUA
rnacentral:rRNA from 1 species